AUGCUAACACAAGCAAGUCGAACGAUGAGAAAGAGCUUGCUCUUUCGAUUAGUGGCGGACGGGGCGUAACGCGUAGGAAUCUACCUAUUAGUGGGGGACAACUUAGGGAAACUUAAGCUAAUCCGCAUACGCCCUACGGGGGAAAGGAGGGGAUCGCAAGACCUUUCGCUAAUAGAUGAGCUGCGUAGGAUUAGCUAGUUGGUGGGGUAAAGGCUCACCAAGGCGACGAUCCUUAACUGGUUGAGAGAAUGAUCAGUCACACUGGAACUGAGACACGGUCCAGACUCCUACGGGAGGCACAGUGGGGAAUAUUGGACAAUGGGCGAAAGCCUGAUCCAGCAAUACCGCGUGUGUGAAGAGGCCUUAGGGUUGUAAAGCACUUUCAAUUGGAAGGAAAACCUCAUAGUUAAUAUCUAUAGUUUGACAUUACCUUUAGAAGAAGCACCGGCUAACUCCGUGCCAGCAGCCGCGGUAAU
rnacentral:rRNA from 1 species